rnacentral:rRNA from 1 species
GACGAACGCUGGCGGCGUGCUUCAUACAUGCAAGUCGAACGGUGAACCCACUUCGGUGGGGGAUCAGUGGCGAACGGGUGAGUAACACGUGAGCAACCUGCCCUCCGCUCUGGGAUAACCCCGGGAAACCGGGGCUAAUACCGGAUAUGAGUCCUGCCCGCAUGGGUGGGGUUGGAAAGUUUUUCGGCGGGGGAUGGGCUCGCGGCCUAUCAGCUUGUUGGUGGGGUGAUGGCCUACCAAGGCGGUGACGGGUAGCCGGCCUGAGAGGGUGAUCGGCCACACUGGGACUGAGACACGGCCCAGACUCCUACGGGAGGCAGCAGUAGGGAAUAUUGCGCAAUGGGCGGAAGCCUGACGCAGCAACGCCGCGUGGGGGAUGACGGCCUCGGUUGUU